rnacentral:rRNA from 1 species
CGUAUGCUGACUGCGGAGGGACAUUAUAGAGUUUUCUAAACUCCCAACCCAUGUGAACUUACCAUUGUUGCCUCGGCAGAAGCUGCUCGGUGCACCCUACCUUGGAACGGCCUACCCUGUAGCGCCUUACCCUGGAACGGCUUACCCUGUAGCGGCUGCCGGUGGACUACCAAACUCUUGUUAUUUUAUUGUAAUCUGAGCGUCUUAUUUUAAUAAGUCAAAACUUUCAACAACGGAUCUCUUGGUUCUGGCAUCGAUGAAGAACGCAGCGAAAUGCGAUAAGUAAUGUGAAUUGCAGAAUUCAGUGAAUCAUCGAAUCUUUGAACGCACAUUGCGCCCAUUAGUAUUCUAGUGGGCAUGCCUGUUCGAGCGUCAUUUCAACCCUUAAGCCUAGCUUAGUGUUGGGAGCCUACUGCUUUUACUAGCUGUAGCUCCUGAAAUACAACGGCGGAUCUGCGAUAUCCUCUGAGCGUAGUAAUUUUUAUCUCGCUUUUGACUGGAGUUGCAGCGUCUUUAGCCGCUAAAUCCCCCAAUUUUUAAUGGUUGACCUCGGAUCAGGUAGGAAUACCCGCUGAACUUAAGCAUAUCAUAACCAGGGAGGAUCAU